CGAGUCAGCCAAACAAUCGCUGUGCGGUAACGUACAGAGGAAAGUCCGGGCUUCACAGAACGCAGUGCCAGAUAACGUCUGGACAGCGCAAGCUGAUGGAAAGUGCCACAGAAAAUAAACCGCUGGAAAACUCCGGUUUUUCAGUAAGGGUGAAAAGGUGCGGUAAGAGCGCACCGCGUAUUUGGUAACAAAUACGGCACGGUAAACCCCACUGGAAGUAAGGCCAAGUAGGAAUCCGUUAACGUGGUUCGCGUUGGAUUUGGGUAGGCUGCUAGAGGUGAAUAGCGAUAUUCAUCCCAGAUAAAUGAUUGUUCACGACAGAACCCGGCUUAUCGGCUGACUCACUAA
rnacentral:RNase_P_RNA from 2 species